rnacentral:rRNA from 1 species
UACGUAGGGGGCUAGCGUUGUCCGGAUUUAUUGGGCGUAAAGAGCGUGUAGGCGGCUAUGCAGGUCCGCUGUGAAAACUCGAGGCUCAACCUCGAGACGUCGGUGGAAACCGCAUGGCUAGAGUCCAGAAGAGGAGAGUGGAAUUCCCGGUGUAGCGGUGAAAUGCGCAGAUAUCGGGAGGAACACCAGUGGCGAAGGCGACUACCUGGCCUGUUCUUGACGCUGAGGCGCGAAAGCUAGGGGAGCAAACGGG